rnacentral:rRNA from 1 species
UGGGGAAUUUUGGACAAUGGGCGCAAGCCUGAUCCAGCCAUGCCGCGUGAGUGAAGAAGGCCUUCGGGUUGUAAAGCUCUUUCGGUGAAGACGAAACGGUUAGCGCUAAUAACGCUGACUAAUGACGGUACUCACAGAAGAAGCACCGGCUAACUACGUGCCAGCAGCCGCGGUAAUACGUAGGGUGCAGGCGUUAAUCGGAAUUACUGGGCGUAAAGCGUGCGCAGGCGGCUUUGCAAGACAGAUGUGAAAUCCCCGGGCUCAACCUGGGAACUGCAUUUGUGACUGCAUCGCUAGAGUACGGCAGAGGGGGAUGGAAUUCCGCGUGUAGCAGUGAAAUGCGUAGAUAUGCGGAGGAACACCGAUGGCGAAGGCAAUCCCCUGGGCCUGUACUGACGCUCAUGCACGAAAGCGUGGGGAGCAAA